UGCCCUUCCCCUUCCCUCCCCGGCAUCCGUGUGGGAGCGGCGGGGGCGGCCCGGCGCUUCCUCUCGCAUGAGGUCACACGGCGGCGGGGGAGGGAGCUCCCCGCUGGGCUGAGCACCUUCUUUGCCUCAGUCUUCAACAGUAAGACCAGUUAUCCUCAGGACAACGGCCCUUCUAAGCUGGUAGACAGGGAUGGGGAGCAGAAUGGACCCCCUGUAAGACAGGAGGAAGCAGUGACCUGCUGUGCUACUUAGAUACAAGUCUAUGGGACUGGAUUGGACUCAUCCUAGGGUGAUGAGGGAGCUGGUGGAAGAGCUCACCAAGCCCCUCUUCAUCGUUUAUCAUCAGUUCUGGCUAACCAAGGAGGUCACAGAUGACUGGAAGCUGGCCAGUGUGACGCCCAUCCACAAGAAGGGCCAGAAGGCGGAUCCAGAGAACUAGAAGCCUGUCAGCCUCACCUCGGUGCCCAGCAAGGUUAUGGAGCAGAUUAUCUUAAGUGCAAUCACAUGACACAUACAAGACAACCAAGGGAUCAGUCCCAGCCAGCAUGGCUUAGGAAAGCCAGGUCCUGCCUGACCAACCUGAUCUCAUUUUAUGACCAGGUAAUCUGCCUAGUAGAUGAGGGGAAGGUUGUGGAUGUAGUCUACCUGGACUUCAGUAAAGCUUUUGACUCUGUCUACCACAGCAUGCUCCUGAAAAAGCUGGCAGCCCAUGGCUUGGAGAGGCAAACACUUCACUGCAUUGAGAACUGGCUGAAUGGCCAAGCCCAGAGAGUGGUGGUGAAUGGUGCUACCUCCAGUUGGCGUCCAGUCACCAGUGGUGUCUCCCAGGGAUCAGUGUUGGGCCCCAUCCUGUUUAAUAUCUUUACUGAUGAUCUGGAUGAGGGGAUCCAGUAAGUUUGUGGACAGCACUAAGUUAGGUACGAGUGUUGGUCUGCUGUGGGAUAGGAAGUCUCUGCAGAGGGAUCUGGACAAGCUGAAUCAAUGGCCCUAAAGCCAGAAUAAGGAAAAGUACUGGGUCCUAUACUUUGUCCACAAUAAGCCCAUGCAGCACUACUCGCUGUGGAUAGUGUCUGGAAAGCUGCCCAGAAGAAAAGAACCUGGGGGUGCUGGUCAACAACAACUGAAUGUCAGCCAGUGUGUGCCCAGGUGGCCAAGAAGGCCGAUGACAUCCUGGCCUGUGUCAGCAAUAGUGUGGCUAGCAGGACCAGGACAGUGACCCUCCCCAUGUACUCAGCACUGGUGAGGCCACACCUCAAGUGCUGUGUUCAAUUCAAGGCCCCUCAGUUCAGGAAGGACAUUGAGGUGCUGGAGCGUGUCCAGAGAAGGACAACUGAGCUGAUGUAGGGUCUGGAGUACCAGCUGAGGGUUGGUUAGCCUGCAGAAAAGGAGGCUCAGGGGUGACAUUAUUGCUCUCUGUAACGACCUGACAAGAGUUGUAGCCGGGUGGGGGUCGAGCUCUUUUCCCAGGCAACAAGCAACAGGUUGAGAAGACAGUCAAGUUGCCUCAGGGGCAGUUUAGGUUGGACAUUAGAAGGAAUUUCUUCACAGAAAGGGUGAUAAGCACUAAAAUGGGCUGCCCAGGGGAGGUGGUGCAGUCAUCAUCCCUGGGGAUGUUUAAGGAAAGACUGGAUGUGGCACUUAGUGCCAUGGUCUAGUUGGCAUGGUGGUGUUCAGUCAGAGGUCUCAGAUGCCUUUCCAACCCAAUUGUUCUGUGAUUCUGUCAUUCUUCCUGUCCUUCCCCUUUUCAAUGGUGUCAUGGCCCUAUUCUUUCAUUCUGCUUAAUUCUUCCCCAUGCCAGCCAAUUCCAAUUGGCAGAAGGGGUCUGGCAGGAGGUGAUGUGUUCCUCUAACUCGCCUGAAAGCAAGGAAAUGAGCAGUUUCUUCAGCCUGAAGAUAGAAUAAGGAUAUAAAUAUUGCAAAACAUGAUCAUAGGUGUGUGUAAUUUAAAGUAAUACUUAAUAAAUUCAAAGACAUGUAUUGACAAAAGAGUGGUAAUUUUAUUCCCAGGAAGACACGUUUAAAAAAAAUUGCUUUAAUUCCAGUAUUUCAAUUGAUACUUGUACAGAUGGAAUCUCUGUUACUUGGCGUCACAGUGGUACCCCAGACACAUCUGAUGGGAUGUGCUCUCCUACUAUACCCCCAUGCACCAGGCCGCCAGUGGUGGGAUCCCUUUCUCCUUGCUCCUACACCUGCCACAAUUGUCACCUCUAGGAAAACAUGCCACUUGGCAGAGGGAAAUCUGCAUCUCACAUCUUCUGUUUCUGUUAUGCAGCCUGGGUAUCUGCCUGACUUUCUGACAGAUUUUGUAAGAUCCCUCCAGUGCCUUCAGGGAAAUAGAUUGGCUUGACUGCCUUAUCUAGAGGGAAUUCCCAAAAGAGAAUUCACUUCAGGAUGAUCCAAACUCCUUUCACUACUAGUAGCAAACAGUUGUUUACAAAUUACUCCAUUGGAUCCCGCGUGUCUGGGUGUCUUAUCAGGAGAAAGUGUGUUUACUGUGUGUUUCACACUGAAAUCAAUGGGGAAAAAAUGUUGAUAAAAGGGUUGCUUGGCUCCCAGAACAUGCUGUCCUUUGCCAAAAGGUGCUACUGUCACACAAGGCACAGCUGGGGAAAGAACUCCUGGCUCACAAGUGCAUCUGUCUGCAUCUGCCCCGGCUGAAAUAAAGGUUAUGGAACAAAUACUCAAUAGGUCUUGGUGAAAUUCUGUGUUUUCUGUUUAUGGCAAGUUCUGUCAUGGUUUCUGUGAUUGUAACUGGUUUUAUUUAAAACAUUCUGAAAUCUCAUUUGAAGCAUAUUAUUGCCACUAAAACUAAAUCUGUAUGUUAUAAAUGAAGUCUGUAAUUCGUGCUGUUAUGUAUAAAAAUGAACUGUAAUAAAACUAUACAGAGCCAGAGUUUCAAACCUCCCCACCAGCCUGGCUGAGAGGAAAAUUUUACAACACUAGAGCAGUUGAAAAGGAAGUUUUUUCAGCACAGAUGUAAUCAAUAGGUGAGGAUUCCACCCUAGGUGGGGUUGGAUCUUAUCACUGAGACAUUAACACUAUGAUGACUUGAUCGCUAUCUUCUGAUAUCUACAUCUCAGCCGAUAAGGAAUUGGACAUAACUGUUCCAGGAACCAGAGAUGGCCCAUUCAUCAUCCAAGAUGGACAAUUCAUCAGACCCAGGAAAUGCUUUGUGCAGUCCAACUUCGGGACAAGAAAACGUCAUGAAUGUGCUAAAUGGCGAGAAGAACAGAAUUCGACUCUGCCCAAGAACUGUAUAAGAAGGAACCAGCUGAAGCAGCAUUCGUGAACUUGGGAGGUCUGAUGGGAUAGAGGUCAGAUCUGUGCGUGUUCACCCAGCUCCAGCCCCGGGCUCGGCGCUGCUUUUCUCGAUCAUGGCUUUCUGUGUGACCGAUCUUUCAGCCACGGAAUAAAAUCUAUUUCUUUAUUAAAUUUAA